CUGCAGCCGGCGCGCCAGGCGCCGUAUGCUAAUGCAGGCGCCCGGGCCCGCGGACGGGAAGGAAGAAAAGCCCUCACAAAGGAGAGAAAUGCAAAUGACAGGCGCGGAGAUCAGUGCCGAGAAUCCCGGAUUAACUGAGCGGAGCUGGUGCUCGCCUGAGUUUAACCCUUUCUGGAUUGUGUCGGGGCUACACGGGGUUGCUGCCCUGAGCUCUGGUCUGGAUCUGGGUCCCAGCCGAAGUGCGGGUGCAGGCAGACGUGGGAAGAACCAAGUGAUACUCCAAUCAAAAAUGCAACGAGGAAGGAAAGAAAAUGAGGCCAGAGCAGAAGAGCAGAGACCCGGGUUAAAGCUUUGCAAACAUAACCUUCUCUGGAAGAGAACAAUGGAGGAAAUACUUCAUCAACACUGGGGCUCCCAAAACGCAAGUCAGGGUCCUGGUGCUGCUGGGGCCCUCCUGCUUUGGGACACAGCCUCUUUCAAAACAUCACCAUGAUAUGUACUUACGGAGAGGAAAACAUUUACUAAAACCCAUAAACUCUCCUGGGAGCAUGUGGAAAUGACUGUCCAUCCCUGGAUUAUGGCCACACCAUCUGUAUCCCAUCUCCACAUCUCCCAGGUCCAGCACAGGGUCCAGACAGCAGCAGAAAGCCCACAUCUGUGUUGGGAAAGAAAUGAACUCUACGGCCAAGGAGAGGUAGGUGAAUGUGUUCACACAGACACACACACCAGGA